GACGAACGCUGGCGGCGUGCCUAAUACAUGCAAGUAGAACGCUGAAGAGAGGAGCUUGCUCUUCUUGGAUGAGUUGCGAACGGGUGAGUAACGCGUAGGUAACCUGCCUUGUAGCGGGGGAUAACUAUUGGAAACGAUAGCUAAUACCGCAUAACAAUGGAUGACACAUGUCAUUUAUUUGAAAGGGGCAAUUGCUCCACUACAAGAUGGACCUGCGUUGUAUUAGCUAGUAGGUGAGGUAAUGGCUCACCUAGGCGAUGAUACAUAGCCGACCUGAGAGGGUGAUCGGCCACACUGGGACUGAGACACGGCCCAGACUCCUACGGGAGGCAGCAGUAGGGAAUCUUCGGCAAUGGGGGCAACCCUGACCGAGCAACGCCGCGUGAGUGAAGAAGGUUUUCGGAUCGUAAAGCUCUGUUGUAAGUCAAGAACGGGUGUGAGAGUGGAAAGUUCACACUGUGACGGUAGCUUACCAGAAAGGGACGGCUAACUACGU
rnacentral:rRNA from 1 species